rnacentral:lncRNA from 1 species
UUGCGUUCCAUUUCCAUGACGUCACACAGCAGCCGCGAUAUCGCUGAAUCUUUCUGAGGAUUCAUAUGCUGAUAGGAGUAUCAAAUGUGUACAGACGCUAAUUUUCUGAGUGAAUUUGCAAUACAGAGAGUUAGUUUAGAUUCAGUCAAACAACCACAGGGCACAAAUUUGAUCAAAUGUCAACGGACAAUAUGUCUUCAAGAUUAUCGUCCGUGUCUGAGGAGAGUGUAGAGAGCCAGUUGAGUGUCAUGGAGGCCCGUCCUGUGGAGCAGAGCUCGACAGUUUCAGAAAAGCAUGCCAGCAAGAGGAAGAAGAACAUAAUUUCUUGUUUCUUCAAGAAAGUACGUAAGGCUGUGAAGCUUCCCAUCUGCUCCAAGAACACAGUGGACUGUCUACCACAGCAGGACCCACAGUUUGACAACUCUACACCUAGCCUGGAAGGGUGGAACGACGCCGCUUUAUCCAGUUCGGAUGGCUGCCCAGAGCAGUCCAGCUUCACACUUCCAGGUGAAGUGCUUGUUGAGCCAGUAAAGGCUUCAGCUUGCCUGAAACUAAAGACAGCAUCCAGAUUAGAUGACUCUAUACCUAAUGUCAUCAAUGAGGGCAGUACAGACAGACCGAAAUUGGAGGCUUCAGUUACAAAAAAGGGUACAGAAGAACGUAGGAAGAGGAGAGGAAUCCACUCUUUCUUCAAGAGUGUGUGGAAGGCUAUGAAAAAGCCUUUCUGCUGCCAGAACAAAGUGGAGCCUUUUGUGCCUCCACCAGAACUGGAUGAUCCUGAGCUGUCACCUGUCCCAGAGCCUUCAGACUGCGUCCCAACUAAUGGUAAAUAUGUGAUCAUUAUAACAAGAUUAGUGUAAUUGAAGUAAUAAACUAGUUUCAAAUAAGUUUAUUUGAAAUAUGCUUAUACU